AGGACGAACGCUGGCGGCGUGCUUAACACAUGCAAGUCGAACGGAAAGGCCCUUUCGGGGGUACUCGAGUGGCGAACGGGUGAGUAACACGUGAGUAAUCUGCCCCUAGCUCUGGGAUAGCUCCGGGAAACCGGGAUUAAUACUGGAUACGACCACCUUAGACAUCUUUUGUGGUGGAAAGAAUUUCGGCUAGGGAUGAGCUCGCGGCCUAUCAGCUUGUUGGUGGGGUAACGGCCUACCAAGGCGACGACGGGUA
rnacentral:rRNA from 1 species